rnacentral:tRNA from 2 species
GGAGAGGUGACCGAGUGGUUGAAGGUGGCGCCCUGCUAAGGCGUUGUGCGGCUUAAACCGUACCGAGGGUUCGAAUCCCUCCCUCUCCGCCA